rnacentral:rRNA from 1 species
UGGGGAAUAUGGGACAAUGGGCGCAAGCCUGAUCCAGCCAUGCCGCGUGAGUGAUGAAGGCCCUAGUGUUGUAAAGCUCUUUCACCGGUGAAGAUAAUGACGGUAACCGGAGAAGAAGCCCCGGCUAACUUCGUGCCAGCAGCCGCGGUAAUACGAAGGGGGCUAGCGUUGUUCGGAUUUACUGGGCGUAAAGCGCACGUAGGCGGACUUUUAAGUCAGGGGUGAAAUCCCGGGGCUCAACCCCGGAACUGCCUUUGAUACUGGAAGUCUUGAGUAUGGUAGAGGUGAGUGGAAUACCGAGUGUAGAGGUGUGAUUCGUGGAUAUUCGGAGGAACACCAGUGGCGAAGGCGGCUCACUGGACCAUUACUGACGCUGAGGUGCGAAAGCGUGGGGAGCAAACAGG